UGGCGAGUAUCAAAACUUUGCAUUUGCUAAAACCAGCAAAAAUUGUGACUGAUUCUUUCUUCUUCAGUGUCACUAAAAAUGGUAUUUCCUCAUUCCCACUGGCAACUAAGCCUAAGCAUUCGACAACUCAGCGAAGUUACUCUGUGAAAUCGAGUGUUUUAGAGCCUCCUGAUAUUCCUCGUUUGGCUUAAAAAGCUCAGAUUUCACUAACCCCUCAAGAAGUUGAAGAAUUCGCUCCCAAAAUUCAACAAGUUAUAGAUUGAAUUCCAGCUGUGCUAGAACUUUAAAUAGUGUGGAACCUUUGAAGCGUGCUUGAGGUAUUCGUCCAAGAACUUGGUGGAAACUUUAAGUAUUUGUCUGUCUAAGCUGACCGAAGGCUGAAAAAAGCCUCAAUCGAUAAUU